rnacentral:rRNA from 1 species
UACAGAGGUCUCAAGCGUUAAUCGGAAUCACUGGGCUUAAAGGGUCCGCAGGUGGUUUGACAAGUAUCUUGUGAAAUCUACGGUCUCAACCCGUAAAUUGCUCGGUAAACUGUCAGACUUGAGUGUGGUAGGGGUCGCUGGAACCGUAGGUGGAGCGGUGAAAUGCGUAGAUAUCUACGGGAACGCCAAAGGUGAAGACAGGCGACUGGACCACAACUGACACUCAGGGACGAAAGCGUGGGGAUCAAACGGG